rnacentral:rRNA from 1 species
GUGGACGGUUCACGAGUGAGAAUGCAGGCAUGAGUAGCGAUUCACACGUGAGAAACGUGUGCGCCGAUUGACUAAGGGUUCCUGGGUCAAGCUGAUCUGCCCAGGGUAAGUCGGGACCUAAGGCGAGGCCGACAGGCGUAGUCGAUGGAUAACCGGUUGAUAUUCCGGUACCCGCUGUGAAGCGUCAAACAUCGAAUCCAGUGAUGCUAAGCCCGUGAAGCCGCCGGCUGAGUCUUCGGACGAGGUCGGAGUGGUGGAGCCGGUGACCCGAGCUGGUAGUAGGUGAGUGAUGGGGUGACGCAGGAAGGUAGUCCAUCCCGGGCGGUGGUUGUCCCGGGGUAAGGGUGUAG